rnacentral:rRNA from 4 species
AAAUUGAAGAGUUUGAUCAUGGCUCAGAUUGAACGCUGGCGGCAGGCCUAACACAUGCAAGUCGAACGGUAACAGGAAGCAGCUUGCUGCUUCGCUGACGAGUGGCGGACGGGUGAGUAAUGUCUGGGAAACUGCCUGAUGGAGGGGGAUAACUACUGGAAACGGUGGCUAAUACCGCAUAACGUCGCAAGACCAAAGAGGGGGACCUUCGGGCCUCUUGCCAUCAGAUGUGCCCAGAUGGGAUUAGCUUGUUGGUGAGGUAACGGCUCACCAAGGCGACGAUCCCUAGCUGGUCUGAGAGGAUGACCAGCCACACUGGAACUGAGACACGGUCCAGACUCCUACGGGAGGCAGCAGUGGGGAAUAUUGCACAAUGGGCGCAAGCCUGAUGCAGCCAUGCCGCGUGUAUGAAGAAGGCCUUCGGGUUGUAAAGUACUUUCAGCGGGGAGGAAGGUGUUGUGGUUAAUAACCGCAGCAAUUGACGUUACCCGCAGAAGAAGCACCGGCUAACUCCGUGCCAGCAGCCGCGGUAAUACGGAGGGUGCAAGCGUUAAUCGGAAUUACUGGGCGUAAAGCGCACGCAGGCGGUCUGUCAAGUCGGAUGUGAAAUCCCCGGGCUCAACCUGGGAACUGCAUUCGAAACUGGCAGGCUUGAGUCUUGUAGAGGGGGGUAGAAUUCCAGGUGUAGCGGUGAAAUGCGUAGAGAUCUGGAGGAAUACCGGUGGCGAAGGCGGCCCCCUGGACAAAGACUGACGCUCAGGUGCGAAAGCGUGGGGAGCAAACAGGAUUAGAUACCCUGGUAGUCCACGCCGUAAACGAUGUCUACUUGGAGGUUGUGCCCUUGAGGCGUGGCUUCCGGAGCUAACGCGUUAAGUAGACCGCCUGGGGAGUACGGCCGCAAGGUUAAAACUCAAAUGAAUUGACGGGGGCCCGCACAAGCGGUGGAGCAUGUGGUUUAAUUCGAUGCAACGCGAAGAACCUUACCUGGUCUUGACAUCCACGGAAGUUUUCAGAGAUGAGAAUGUGCCUUCGGGAACCGUGAGACAGGUGCUGCAUGGCUGUCGUCAGCUCGUGUUGUGAAAUGUUGGGUUAAGUCCCGCAACGAGCGCAACCCUUAUCCUUUGUUGCCAGCGGUUAGGCCGGGAACUCAAAGGAGACUGCCAGUGAUAAACUGGAGGAAGGUGGGGAUGACGUCAAGUCAUCAUGGCCCUUACGACCAGGGCUACACACGUGCUACAAUGGCGCAUACAAAGAGAAGCGACCUCGCGAGAGCAAGCGGACCUCAUAAAGUGCGUCGUAGUCCGGAUUGGAGUCUGCAACUCGACUCCAUGAAGUCGGAAUCGCUAGUAAUCGUGGAUCAGAAUGCCACGGUGAAUACGUUCCCGGGCCUUGUACACACCGCCCGUCACACCAUGGGAGUGGGUUGCAAAAGAAGUAGGUAGCUUAACCUUCGGGAGGGCGCUUACCACUUUGUGAUUCAUGACUGGGGUGAAGUCGUAACAAGGUAACCGUAGGGGAACCUGCGGUUGGAUCACCUCCUUACCUUAAAGAAGC